CCUACGGGAGGCAGCAGUAAGGAAUAUUGGUCAAUGGACGCAAGUCUGAACCAGCCAUGCCGCGUGCAGGAUGAAGGCCCUCUGGGUUGUAAACUGCUUUUAUAGGGGACGAAAAAGGGACUUUCUAGUUCAACUGACGGUACCCUAGGAAUAAGCACCGGCUAACUCCGUGCCAGCAGCCGCGGUAAUACGGAGGGUGCAAGCGUUAUCCGGAUUUACUGGGUUUAAAGGGUGCGUAGGUGGGUCGGUAAGUCAGCGGUGAAAUCUUCAAGCUUAACUUGGAAACUGCCAUUGAUACUAUCGAUCUUGAAUCAUCUGGAGGUAAGCGGAAUAUGUCAUGUAGCGGUGAAAUGCUUAGAUAUGACAUAGAACACCAAUUGCGAAGGCAGCUUACUACGGAUGUAUUGACACUGAGGCACGAAAGCGUGGGGAUCAAACAGGAUUAGAUACCCUGGUAGUCCACGCCCUAAACGAUGGAUACUCGACAUACGUGAUAUACUAUGUGUGUCUGAGCGAAAGCAUUAAGUAUCCCACCUGGAAGUACGAUCGCAAGAUUGAAACUUAAAGGAAUUGACGG
rnacentral:rRNA from 1 species